rnacentral:lncRNA from 1 species
CAUCCUUGUUAAGUCAAGACAGUCAUACAGGAAGAAAGGAGCGUGGAGCGAAGGAGGUGAUAGUUUUCAGGAUGGAGGAAAGGAAAUGACUGGGAAGAGGAAU